UUAAUCUUUACAAAACAUCAAGAUAUUUUUUUAACGUUAACAUGCUUUAAAAAGAGCAUUUAAAACAGUCUAAAAAACACAGCAACUUAACGAUAUGCAGCAUUAAAAAAAUAUAUGAAAACGCUACUGCAUCAAAAAGUAAUUUGGUUCAUUGUGAUGAUAAAUAUACAAACUUUCAAACCAU